AUUGAACGCUGGCGGCAGGCCUAACACAUGCCAGUCGAGCGGAUGAAGGGAGCUUGCUCCUGGAUUCAGUGGCGGACGGGUGAGUAAUGCCUAGGAAUCUGCCUGGUAGUGGGGGAUAACGUCCGGAAACGGGCGCUAAUACCGCAUACGUCCUGAGGGUGAAAGUGGGGGAUCUUCGGACCUCACGCUAUUAGAUGAGCCUAGGUCGGAUUAGCUAGUUGGUGGGGUAAAGGCCUACCAAGGCGACGAUCCGUAACUGGUCUGAGAGGAUGAUCAGCCACACUGGAACUGAGACACGGUCCAGACUCCUACGGGAGGCAGCAGUGGGGAAUAUUGGACAAUGGGCGAAAGCCUGAUCCAGCCAUGCCGCGUGUGUGAAGAAGGUCUUCGGAUUGUAAAGCACUUUAAGUUGGGAAGAAGGGCAGUAAAUUAAUACCUUGCUGUUUUGACGUUACCAACAGAAUAAGCACCGGCUAACUUCGUG
rnacentral:rRNA from 1 species